rnacentral:rRNA from 1 species
CACGUAGGGUGCGAGCGUUGUCCGGAAUUAUUGGGCGUAAAGAGCUCGUAGGCGGUGUGUCGCGUCGGCCGUGAAAACCUGCAGCUUAACUGUGGGCUUGCGGUCGAUACGGGCAUCACUGGAGUUCGGCAGGGGAGACUGGAAUUCCUGGUGUAGCGGUGAAAUGCGCAGAUAUCAGGAGGAACACCAGUGGCGAAGGCGGCGACCUGGGCCAAUAUUGACGCUGAGGUGCGAAAGCGUGGGGAGCAAACAGG